rnacentral:rRNA from 1 species
GACGAACGCUGGCGGCGUGCCUAAUACAUGCAAGUAGAACGCACAGUUUAUACCGUAGCUUGCUACACCAUAGACUGUGAGUUGCGAACGGGUGAGUAACGCGUAGGUAACCUGCCUGGUAGCGGGGGAUAACUAUUGGAAACGAUAGCUAAUACCGCAUAAUAUUAAUUAUUGCAAGAUAAUUAAUUGAAAGGUGCAAUUGCACCACUACCAGAUGGACCUGCGUUGUAUUAGCUAGUAGGUGAGGUAACGGCUCACCUAGGCGACGAUACAUAGCCGACCUGAGAGGGUGAUCGGCCACACUGGGACUGAGACACGGCCCAGACUCCUACGGGAGGCAGCAGUAGGGAAUCUUCGGCAAGGGACGAAAGUCUGACCGAGCAACGCCGCGGGAGUGAAGAAGGUUUUCGGAUCGUAAAGCUCUGUUGUAGGAGAAGAACGGGUGUGAGAGUGGAAAGUUCACACUGUGACGGUAUCUUACCAGAAAGGGACGGCUAACUACGUG